AUGGAGAACUUCAAAAAGGCCUGGGCAGCCCAGCCCAGCACGCGGGUUCAAGAGGGGCAUCGUGGUCCAGGGGCAGCUCCUGAGCCUGUGUCAUCCUCCUCUGGAUCAUACCUCCAAGCAUCCAAGCCCUGGUCCCUGUCCCAGCUCCCACGAGUGUCUGUGUUUGCAGGUUCCCUGUCCCAGCCUGUGCUGACUCAGCUGCCCUCCCUCUCUGCAUCCCUGGGAUCAUCGGCCAGACUCACCUGCACCCUGAGCAGUGGCUUCAGUGUUGGUAGCUACAGCGUACGCUGGUACCAGCAGAAGCCAGGGAGCCCUCCCCGGUACCUCCUGAGCUACUACUCAGAGUCAAGUAAGCACCAUGGCUCCGGGGUCCCCAGCCGCUUCUCUGGCUCCAAAGAUGCCUCGGCCAACGCAGGGAUCCUGCACAUCUCUGGGCUGCAGUCUGAGGACGAGGCUGACUAUUACUGUAAUAUAUGGGAUGGCAGCUCUAAGACUUACACAGUGAUCGAGACACACGGCGAAGUGCUGUGCUCACUCAGCGGCCCGUCAUCUGGGAGUAACAUCACCCCCUCCUGCACUGGAGUGAGCUGCAGAGUUGGGGGAACACGAUGUUCUGGCCCCACCAGCUCCGACGAGAAGGCCCAGGGAACCCAGUGA